rnacentral:lncRNA from 1 species
ACAAUUUCUUGUUCUCGGUUAGCUUGAGUGAUUGGAGCUUCUUCAUUUCCUCAAACAUCUCCCUAGGAAAAGAUUUUAUUUGAGUCCUUGUGAGCUCGAGUGUUGUUAGACUAGACAAUGCAACAAUGGAGGGUGGCAUCUCCUCAAGGUUGGAGCAUUUGACAAGCAGGAGCUCUUUUAGAUUAGGCAUGUUACGGAAGAAGUCGCCUUGGAAGUUGCUUAUAUUUGAAUAGGAGAGAUCGAAGUAGUAGAGCGAGCUGAGCUUUUUGUUGUUGUUGUUUUCACGGAGAGUAAUUUCUGUAUCUGGGAAGCUGAAUGGACUUCUGAGGUUAUAGCAGCCCCUAAGAGAAAGCAAUUGGAGUUUUUGGAGACAACAGAUUGAAGGAGGAAGUGAUUCUAGAGGAGUGUAGGAAAGAUCCAGAACAUGAAGGCAAGAAAGCUUGGCCAAGAAAUGAUUAGAUUGAAGCUUCAUGAACAACCUCGACUGCUGGGGGCAAUGCCUUAUAAUGAGUGUUGUUGGGCCGCUGGCUCCCUGCCUUAACCAUUCUCUGCUUACAUGCCAUCCUUGAUCACCCAGAUGUGAGAUCCACCGCAUGCGCUCCAGUCCAGGAUGAUUUCCCUCACAAAAAAAAACUUCUUCUGUUGUGUGGCACUCUGCAACGAGAUUAUAACAAGCUAGGAAGUGUGCAGCAGAUUUUGUGGCUUCAUCAACUUUAGUUGCAGGUGAAAAGAGAAGCUGCAGCAACGAGUACUCUCGAAAAGCUUCAAGGAUGACAUUUCCCACUUGGUAUAUAUUAUUGUAUUUGCCUUGGCAGUCAGCUGCUGUCACCUCCGUUGUUCUUUCUAGCACGCCAGUAAUGAGGCCCUGUAUGGCCCAUUGACGUAUCAGCUGCUCAUCUGAAGUAAUAUCAGCUAGUGCAUCAGAACUCUGCUGAUCUCCAUCUCUAUGGGCAUAUGAACAGUGUGGAAUGAGCAGCAUGAGGAUGUAGUGAAAGCACCGGACGGCCACGUGGUGCCAAUAUUGUUCAUCUUUGUGGCCGGUCACGCCCAAGAUGUACUUAGCUGUCUGAUGCAGUGAGUAGAGAGUAAGCAUCAAUAUGUCAUCCCCACUGAAAGAAUCAACGAUACAAUUAUAAUCCGGCUUGCUCCUGUCAUAGACAUCUUUGGAGGUGCCGGAUACAAUCCAGAAAGAGCCUUCCCACUGAGGAGGAGGAAGGCAUGAUAAGUCUUCGGUGAAAGCACUAAGAUUGAUGGGCUUAAUGGGCUCAUUGAGGUUGUUAAUCACCAGCAGGUACUUCUUCUCCAGCAGCUUUUUCACUAUUUGAUAAACCGUUGAUUUUACAUUUUUUUGCAAGGAGUCCGUUGCAUCCUGGUAGCCAUAGGUAUAGUACCACAGCUCAUCGCCCUCUGCUUUUAGCAUGUCGUAUUCUUGGUUGAGUAGCCCAAGCUGCUCCGCCACUUUGAUGGCCAGCUUGUCAUUAAUACUGAGCCUCGUUCCAAGCACUAACGCCUGCUUCAUGUCCACCUCUAUCACGUGGUCAAAGGGACCUUCCUCCUUGAUCUUGACCUCCCGAAUGAUGCUUGAUAUAGCUCGUGUGAAACAUGCUGCGGGUCCCACCCCAACAUUCCACUGCACGAAUCCAUACCUGUCGAGUUUUUCUUCCAAGUCACGAUAUGCAGGGCUCUUGAGAAAUCCUUUCAACCUGGCAGCACAAAUAAAAAAGGCUCCGUUACGUGCUUUUUGAACAACUUGUGCUCAAUGUUGAGUAAUUUGUUAAUCAUAUUCUCUUUUAUGCCUGCCCAUUUAUUUUAUUUUUAUUCUCACGUUUGACGCUACUGAAAACAGCAAACAUGAAGCUUAAUGCCGAUACUGUACAUCCUUGUCCGUUGACAUAUAAAAUCACUUUUUUAUGCAUGUUUUAUCAACAAACUUAUUUGAUAAUGAUAACAAUAAUAAGUAUAAGAAUUCGGGUGCAUAUCUGAGUGAAAAUGCUGCCAUUAACACCGGGUAUGGGAAAGACAAGCAAAAUAAUUCUUUCUUUUCUUCAAAAUAAUUCUUUCUUUUCUUCACGAUAUAACUGUUAAUUGAAUAAAUAAAGCUUGCCAUGUGGCUUUCUUUAAAAAAACAUAAGUAGAAAUGUGGCCUGCAUAAAUUUUUGUGUUGUUGUUCUGAUGACCAAAAAUAUAUGUUUAAAUAUUCUUUUAGGCAAUAUAAAUCUUUAUGUUUUAGCAAAACAGGAACAAUUAACUGGCACUUAUAACACUUUAUGAAGCCAUUGAACAUAUUAGGUGACCUAGAGAAAUGGAUUAAGAAAACAAAGCAUAUGCAUCCGAGAGAAAAAGGAGGAACAAAAUUAGGAGAUUCGAGAAAGAUGAUCAUGGCGUGGUGGCGGAGGCGGUGGGGCUUAUAACUCUAUUGCUGACUUGUUUGAAUCAAGUGCACGUCAUAUGACUAGCUCCCUCAUCAAGUUCAUCCCAUUGUUUCACCUAAGUUGAUGUAUGAGUUCCUAUUGAGGGUAUAGUGAUGAUGAGAUUAAAAAGCCUUGAAUUGCAUGGGCGGUCUCAAAGCACCAGGGGUUGAUGGUAUGCCAGCUUUAUUUUUUAAAAAAAUAUUGGGAUAUUGUUGGCAAAGAUGUGUGGUGCAGGAGGUGAGGAAGCUACCGUUGGAAGGUGAAAUGCCCAAAUGAUGGAAUGUCAUUUCACUAGAUAUGAUUGCCUAGAACAAAAAUGUGAUUUUGUGCCCGGCCAUCUAAUCACGUAUAAUGUGCUCUUAUAGAUGAACCCACUUCAUGCAGACAAAAAUGUCGUCGUUGUUGGCACCAAUAGAACACGGGCUAUGAUUUUUCCUGGCAAUUUCCCGACCCACCGGUGUAGCGUAGCCACCGAGAAGGGAGCUGCAGAGCCAUGCCUCGUACACGGUCCGUGCUGGGGAGUAUGGCUUGCACUACUAGAGAACUGACUUUAGAUACCACCCCAUUUAGUCUCAGUUUAAUUUCGACCCGGGAGAAAAGGGGGUGCGCUACAAUUUAUUCCUGGUUGGUAUUUGCAAUCGGGACUAAAGGGGACCUUUUAGUCCCGGUUCAAAAAUCAGGCACCUGUGAGGAUCCUUUAGUCCCGGUUGAAAAAUUCAGGCACACGUGGGGGACCCUUUAGUCCAGGUUGGUAAGAUCAAUCGGGACUAAAAGGUGACCCUUACCACCCGGGACUAAAGCAACCGGGAUAAAAGGUGGCUAAAAAAAGAAUAAAGCCCUCGGACCCUUUUUAUGCCGGUUGGUGUUUCCAACCGGGAUAAAAGGGUCCCCCACGUGUGGCUGGGAAAGGACUAAAUCCCUCGAACCUUUUUAUCCCGGUUGGUAUUACCAACCGAGAUUAAAUGAGGUCUUUAAUCCCGGUUGGUGUUACCAACCCGGAUUAAAGGGUCCUCCAUGAGUUAAUAUAAAAGGAUAGUAUCCCCUAUAUAGACAGAUGUGGUGUGUAGGUGGGAUGGCAAGGAAGCUAUGCGCAAGUCUUGAGGUCAUGGGUUUGAAGCCCACGGACCACGCACGCACAUAUUUCGCGUGAAAAAUCGUGUGACUUGAUAAAAGCAACGUUGUGCGUGUGGGGGGCCUCUAGGACCCCCCGAUAUUUUUUAUUUUUGCAAUUUUUUUUUGCAAAACCGCGUGGCAACCGUUUUAUCCCGGUUGGUAUUACCAAUCGGGACUAAAAGGGGAUCUUAUAUCCCGAUUUUGGGACCCGUGAUAAAAGACACCCCCCUUUUAUCUUGACGGAUUAAUCCCGGAUGUAUGUUCGGGAGAUAUGCACCCUGCGAACCGGUACUAAUACCAAGUUUUCUAGUAGGGUUGAGAGAGUGGUGAGCAUUCAUAAUGCGAACCCAUUGCGCCGGCGGGCAAGAUAUGGGGCCCUACUGUUGCUGACCGAGAAGACAUCGGAUCUGGUAGUAGGUGAACUAGAUCCGGCUCGGGAGGCCGCACUCCCGCCGCUAGCACCGGUUGCUAUGGCUGCCGAUGGGUAUCACCAAGCCAGGAUGGGGGAGGUAGGGAGAGGACGGGUGGAUGCUAGAUCUAGCUGGAUAGGGGUGGAUCUAGCCUCUGCAGAGCCAACUGCAACCCAUUGGAGCUUGCCUAGCCAUGGUGGCUUUUGGUGCAAAAAGAGAAGGCCACGUGGGGGGAGGAGACCCGCUGGUGGAGGCCCGCUGCCGCCAUCCUCACACCUGCAUGGGCUUCCGGCGUGGCGCUCUGGUGGCAGCAAGGUGGAGGGAGGGGGAGGGUAUAUAGUGGUGGUGGUGGCGGCCCGCUAGAGGCACCCUAGGUGGAGAGGGUGACACGAGCAGCCUUCCAACGAUCUACAAUGGGUUGUCUAUUAAAUUGUUUCUCAAUAUUCUACACUAAUUAAUGAUUACACAAAAAGACACAUACAAUGGUUAUUGUGUUGUCUAUAAAACAUCUAAAUUGUGUUGGCCAUCAUAUCUUGUGCCAAACCCAUCUCUUUGUGAAGAUACAGCUUUGCUCGCUCUCAUUUACUCUAUGCCACAUGAGGUAGAAAUGCUUGCAUGGCUCAUGUAACUGAUCUUACAAAGUUUUGGGUAAAGUUUUAUGAGUAAGAGUAAACUCUAGUUCCCGUGUCCUAGCAUAUAUAUACUCCUUCACCAACAUCGAGGAGGUUCUUCAUUAGCAUUCCGAACAGGAGUUUCUUGAAUUCCUCUUCUUCCCCUCAUUUGUUUAGUAAUCCAUUUCUUGAGAGAAUGAGAGCAUUCUACCAUCAAACAAGUGUCGCUGCCUUGUUACUUGAGGUUGCUACAUCCUAGAAGAUUCUUAGAAGACAAAACUCUUGAGGUUGUAAACUAUGCAAAACCUGGUUGUUCUUGUGAAGGGUGUUAUAUGCUCGUCUUAGCAAGAGAGAUGAAGAGCAUCUCUAGUAAAAUCUAGGCUUGGACAUUCUGAUCUGAGGUGGUUCAGCAUUAAGAGGUGUGUUGACACAAGCGGCUGCAACUUAUAGUCCACCUUAUCGUGGAUCAAGUGUGAAUGACAAUUCAUUAGUACUAUGGAAUAAAAUUAUUGUCUUGUGAUUGUUUAUCUCCUGGACUCAACUUAUAUACGUGCAAGCUACUUUGAGCAAAUUUAUAUUCCUAAGUACCGGAUUGCUCUUAUUACCUAGGUGGCUAUGUCGCAAAACUUGACAUAGGAUAUGUUGUGUCGUGAGUUAUUUAUUUUCCACUAACCAUAGUUGCUAGUUUUGCAAAAUUAGUUGAAACCCUCUACCUAGUAUCCUUUGAUCCUAAAGUAGCAUGCAGCCAUAUCAUUUACCCUCUUUUGGCAGAUGUAGAUAGAAAGCCGUUGGCUGUGAACUAUGAUGUUUUUUUCCAUGUUUAAACUAACAUUUUUUCGGACAGUGGUUGCUUAUUCUUGAGAUUUGAAAGGUGAUUGUGCUCGUCCGUAAGUGUGCUCUUGCUUAGGGAGCUAGAUGCAUGUAUAUGAGGUGAAAGGACCGUGCCCCUUGGUUUUGUGCUUUCAUGACUGUUAGUUUAAUUUCCUGUUGCCUUGAAGGAGGAAAAAAUAGAGAAGAAAGAAUUAAAAUGCAAGCUACAUUGUACGGGAGAGAGAGGAAGAGGAUAAGAAAGCAGAAAGGUCAAUGCCAUGUCGCAUCUAUGAAAUAUGACAUGAUGACAACUUGCUCAAAAAUGACAUGAGUGGAUUAUUUAGAUGGCAUUCAAUACUCCAAGGGAUGAAUGCAUGGUUUGUGUGCUAGAGUUGGUUAAGUAGAUGAAUAUCAAUACAAAAAGGACUAUCACAUAAUGUUCAUACUCCUUAUCAUAAGACUAUGUCUAAGUUCCUAUGAUACUUGAGGUCAUCACAAAUUUGUGAAAACUCUAUUACAUAUGGUUCACAACUGUGGUAUGCUGCUAUUAAUUGUUUGUGUAAGUUCCUGUGAUAUUGAUGUCACCACACAUUGUGAAAAACUAAAAAACUCUAUCACAAAUGGUUCACAACUAUGAUAUGCUUCUACCUCUAGUUCUUAGCUUAAUGAAUAGUAACUAUUGCCAUGAAAAGUUCUGAGUUAUGAGAUUUGUGUUUGUUAAACAGAUGAGAAAGUCAUGUCCUUUCGGGGGAGAGGGAGAGGGGUAUGUAACUGUCUUGUUUGAGUUGGCUGUACAAAUUAAAAGUAAAAUAACAAAACCUAUACAUAUUAGAUUUUAAAAGUAACAUACCAGAAGUUGAUGUCUUGCAGAUAAUGACGCCAUUCAUUCAAUGGCAUUUUAAAAGAAAAUGGUUCCGCCAUGACUAACGUCAGUAGUUGACUCAAAUUGUCAAAUUGUGGAACCUGCCAGUGGUAGAAGUAAUUUGAACUAGUUAUUAACACAGAAUUACAAAGUUGUUUGGACUAAACAUGAAUAAAUAGUUAAAUAAUUAAACAAUUACUGUUGUGGUCAUUGUUUUAUUUACCUACCUAUGCACAGGUCAAUAUAAUAGCUAGGUAGUUCAUUUGGAUAAAUUUAUUUGUAGCUAGAAAUUGUAAAAUAGAAAUCAGGGCACUGAGUUAGAAUAUUCAAAAAAUGAACUUAUUUCACAUUUGAGCAUUCAGAAGCUAACAUAUAUACAUGAUUAGAUCUAGAUUGCAUACCUACUUAUACAAAAACUAAUCACAUUUACCUUUAUAAGUAUAUUAUGAGUAAGGUUCUACAAAAUUUUUACUGGAGCACACAAAAUAGAUGUCAAUUGAGCGUCUUGUAAAAUACUUUUUUUAACACCUACUGUAACCACGUAUAGGAGGAAGAUUCUCCUGGUUUCAAAAUUAGUAGUCCUGACCUGACCAAAAACAUCGUGUCCUUCAUGAGGCUAGAUGGGGACAAGCUCCUAGAUUCACAUAGUAUUGCAGGGUCGAACCAAUUCAUGGAUUGACAAAAUAUGCAAGUUGCAAGGUACUCGUGCUUCUAGAUAAAGUUGACUUGAUCUAAAUCUUAAAUAAAGUUUACCUCUAAGAUGAAUAAAUUUCUACUUUCAUGCGUAAUCAUAACAAAAUCAUUUAAAAUUUAAUGUAUCGGUUUAAUUGAAUUUAAUGUUAAUCACUCCUAUAGUUAGUGUUUAUUUACCUCUGAUUUAACUUUGGCUGGUUGUCUAUAGUGAAUUUUCCCGGCGGAAUAACUUAGCGUGAUAUAACAUCAUACAGUUCCUUCGCCAAGAAAGCAAAAUUUUAACCUGAAGGUUGGCAAUACAUAUUGUCUCUCCAAGUAUGCUCCAGAAGAAAACACUUGUUUAUAUAAUAGUCCUGAGAAAUAAUGAGCAGUUCACAGCCAUUAUAUUAAUCAGAGCUUUUUAGUGCUAGCAAAUCAUGAAACAAGAAUGAUGCGUAUUAGUACCUGGUGCCAAAGUUUGUUGAUACUGCGUGGAUGACAGGAUAUGACUUUAACUUUCUGGGUUUCAGUUUGAACGGGGUUGGAUCAUAUCAAUAUUUUUGGUGUGUCAAUUUGUCACUAGAAGAAGAAAGUAAUUGCUAGAACGAAGGAAUAAAUAAAUUAUGUUUUGUUAGAACCAAUAAAUGAAAGAAAGGCAUUAGCUGUAGUGUAGAAGAACAAUGGAAAGGGAAUUUUUUCACUUUUUUUUAUUUAUCACGAAGGAAAAAGGGCACGAAACAAGAGCAUGUAAAAUAAAAAGGAUAAAACGACAUAAAAAUGCAGACUAACUGUACAGGAAUCAGCAUAUGUUUCUGUGAUUUUUAACUAAAGUUGAUGAACAAAAGCCAUAAUUCUAGGUAUGAAAGAACAAGAGUGAUAGGCAAACAAUCAGAUGUUUUUCUUGGGGUGGUGAUGGGGUGUUUGUGGAGGAUGGAUGGAGCUUUUUGUACUGUACUAGUUACUUCGUUGGGAACCUGAGAGAACCAGAACUGGCUGGUGGAGCAAAUGAGCAAAACGAAUAGCUGGGAAGGGAGUUGGCCAUUGUCCAUUGCUGUGCUCUCUUAUAGACAGGAAGCGAGGAACAGAGGGGCAAUAUUCUCUGGUUACGACAGCACGCAAAGUAUGCAUCUCUCAGCAAAGCUAAAGACUAAAGUUGAGAAUGCCUAAGGAAUGGAUCAUACCAUGUCCAGAGAAGAAAAUGUAACAUGCAGGCUUAAAGAAUAAAGGGCAUCCCAGGAUGGAGUAACAACCAUGACAAGGCACCAUGGCACGCCUUAAUAAAGCACGCGAGCGGAGCAAAGGAAUAGUAGUAUUGCUUUGCUUAUAUCACAGUUGACAAUUUACCUCAACAACUGAACAUGACUACUCGUUCCGAUCCCGUCCGUUGGAUCCUCGCCUCGUCUGCUCUCUCGCCUCUCUCUCUCUCUCUCUCUCUCUCUCUCUCUCUCUCUCUCUCUCUCUCUCUCUCUCUCUCUCUCUCUCUCUCUCUCUCUCUCUCCCUCCCGUCAUCCAUGGCCAUGGAGAUCGAUCCCAUAAUCCCAUUCUCAUGCAGUCGCACUCGGAUGGCAGACACGAUCCCUACGGCCUACGUGUACGGCGAAUGGCGGCGAACGUGAUUUGAAACAGGCGGUGUCAUCUGAAUCUGCACGAAUCCAAUCCCUAAACGAGAAGAUGGAAACACAAGAGGAUUCAUAUCGACCUGACCGUUGACUCGUGGUGCCUAGUUAGCGAAACAGGACACAAUGCAAGCUACUAUGGCAAGCAAAUGAGCAAAACUAAGGAACCAGACAGCACUAUUGUUCUGAGCCGUCUCAACAUCAUCUGUCCAAUCCGAAAUGUAAACAUUUCCUAGUGUCCAGACUCCAGAACCAUUACUAGCAAUUAGUAGUUUAAAUUUUUAGUUGACACUCGAUCCGCACGCUGCCGGUACUUUGAAGCAUAAUUUACUUGAUUGCAGAUUAGCAGCCGAUCAAUCCACGAAGCAAACGUCCACUAGCUAGUACUAGAUCAAGCAUUGCAGGAAAUUAAACAAACUUUAUUAAUUUCAAACAAAGCAGACUCUGUUAUAGUACACCAAUUCAAUACUUCAAAUAGAACAUACAUAAUCAAACAAGAGCAAGUUCAACAACACGUAGCAGCAAACAUACAUUACAUAGAUUAUAUAAUAAUAAUUUUGGCAUGCCGAGAUGGUCAUGCUGACAGACAAUCCGAUACUAUUGUAGCAAACAGAUUUAUAUUAUUACACCAGGCCAGUUUCACGCCGGCAAUCAAAGUCAAUGCAAAAACUGAUCGAAACAAGCACACAAGACACCCUUUUUUCUGGGAACUUAGCUUCUUCAUUAAUUAAGCAGCAUCAUUACAAUCAUUAAGCAGGCAUAGCUGCAAGAAGCUAGGGAAUUUUGGUUGGUCAUCAACCUCCAUCCCUGUUUGCCCAGCAUUGCGAUGUUGAAGAGUUUGAUGUCCCUGAAGCCCAUGCCUCCAUAGCACUUGGGUAAAGUGAGCUCCGACCAGCGCCUCCAGUGUAUUCCCCGGCGAUCAACCUUGCUGCUCCACCAGUAGUUGGAGAUAGCCGAAGUUGUAGCACUGUAAGGGUGCACGGGAACCUGAGUAAAUUUCUGCUGCACGCGUUGUCUCGCUUCGAGGCGGCACGGGGGCGCCUCCCACCUGCCGCCGCCAGCCCCGUCCAGCAGCCCAGCCGGCCGCCAUCCUGUCGGCCGGCGGCAGCAGCGGCCACACCCUGUUGGUGUUUUAUACCGGCAACCUAAUGAAGAGUAUUCUGAGGUAGUAAAUUGGUUGGUGGGGGAUCGUCGGAUCUGGAACUCGAAGGUAAAAGUGAGGAUAGAAGACACAAAUUUAUACAGGUUCGAACCGCUAGAGUAAUGUAAUAUCAUACAUCCUGUUUGGGGUGUUGUAUAUUGUGCCUUGCGCUUGGGUGUUGUUUGGUGUUUAGGAUUUGGUCCUCUGUUGUGGUUCUAUGACAUCUUUGUCUACUGAUCUAGGGACCCCUGCCCUCCUUUAUAUACUCCAAGGGGUGGGAUUAAUAGUCGGUUAUAAGGAGGAGUCCUAGUAGGAUUACAUGGUAUGACUUCUGAUAGGAUUACAGAGGAAUCCUAGUAGGAGUCCGUCUUCUUACUUCCUUGCGGGUACUGGGGAUCUAUCCCCAACACGCUCCUUCCCUCCCCUCCCAUUUUCCUCUCUCCUCUAACCUUCUCCCUCUCCCCUGUCUCCCAUCAAGUGCUGCUAGUUGUUGCCGCUGGCUUGCUGGCUGCUGCCGCCCAUGGAGGUCAACAUUGCAGAUCUGGGUGGCGGCGCGCUGGAUUCGAACCGCAGCCCACCAGAUUUGGGUGGUAGGGUCCAUCUGCGGCUGCCUGGUGCCGGCGAUGUUUAGGGCUCUGCGGCGGUCUGGGAGCGGGGUGCUGGGGUCGACCAGUGGAGCUUUCUCUCUCGGCAUGCCUGUGCCUCCAGCAGGUUGAGAGAUCUCCGUCGUGCACUGGCUGGCGUGCGCUCCUGCCAUUCGGAAUCUCCAGCCGCUGGGCCCGUGGCCGCUGCAGUCUAGGAUCGCCCAUGGUUCGCUGCAGACUGGAGGUGGGGACCUCUCCCCUUCGCCUCUCCGAUCCCCCGGCCUGCCGGAGCUAGCUGUUGGGGGUGUUGCGGUGUGUCCGGGUGCCACUACCAUUAGGUGGCAUGUGUGGUGGGCUAUCUUCAUCUCAUUCCAAGAUCUUCAGGCGUAAGCCCUACUCGGUGCUGUGCUGAGCCAACAACAACGGUGGUUGCGGGCGUCGUUCCCCUCCUCAGAGGCGUUGUUGAAAAGUCUCGGGAGACAUAGACCUUCCGCCCCGCUGCCGCUUUGCCGUUGAUGUGUUCCACCUGUGCUUUCACUGCUUUGGCCGCUGUCCUUUGUUUGGUUGCUGCCACCAUUGGUGGUUCCAUCCCGUCGGCGCUGCUUGUGGAUGGUUGCUUCGCUGGGGGUGUCGCGGCACACUUUGGGGGAUAGGGGUGAGGCGUAAGCCUCUGCCUGCUUGCGGGCUAGUGAUGGCGAUGUCCUCGGGCACCGUUUCCCUCCUUGGAGGCAUCAUUCAUUUGCCCCUUGCCCCUUCGAGACCCCAAGUCUGGACGGUGUGGUUCUUCCUCAGUACCUGCCUUCGCUUUGUUUUACACACUGUCACAUUGGUUGCCUAGGUCAUGGCAGAUGCUUUGCCACCCUAUCGUGUUGUUGCAAAUGGUCAUCGUUCUGGGCGAAUGCUUUGUUGCCUCUUUGUGUUGGUCAGGUGGACAUUUGUGCCACCACUGAUUGCUCCAUGCGGAUGCUUUGCUGCUGUUCUUCUACUCUAGCGGAUGCUUUGCCGCAAUGGUCGUGCUGUUCGGUGGAUGCUUCGCCACCGUUUUGUGUUGAUUGCUUCGGGCGGAUGCUUUGCCGCCGUUCUUCUACUUUGGCGGAUGCUUUGCCGCCAUGGUUGUACUAUUUGGUGGAUGCUUCACCACCGUUUUGUGCUUCGAGAUUGCUCUCUCUUUCUCGGCUCCAAGGCGAUGGUGUAUUCCUUUUGCAGGUUCAGUUCUUAAGGUGGCCUUGUUAGGGUGGCAGGGUUGGGUGUGUCCUCUCCCUUCGUGCUUCUCUUCCUGUCUGUUUGUUGUGGUUACCACUUCGGUCGCUUGUCGGCUGUGAGUUUGUUUGUACUUUUCUUCAGUGUUUAUCUAUUUUUAGUCCUUUGUGCUCUUGUGUUGGUCAAGCUCUGUUUGGCUACAUUAAGUAUUGUAUCUAUAAACUGCUUUCUUCUUAAUGAAAUACGUGCUAACACUACUAGAGAACUCAACUUCCAUCCAACCCUUUUUGUCCUAGUUGACUUUGGACCCGGGACUAAAGGCAUACUUUAGUCCCAGGUCAAAAAUAAGCCACUGAAGGCCACGGAUGGGGGGAGUUUUAGUUCUGGUUGUAAAGAUCAACCGGGACUAAACCCCCCUAGUCUCGGUUGUAACGGCUAAAAAAUUUGGCAUCGAUGGUGGGAGCUUUUGCUCUUAUCCCAGUUGGUAAUUCCAACCAGGACAAAAGAUUUAGUCUCGGUUAGAAAUUCCAAUCGGGACAAAAGGCGAGUCUCGGUUGGAAAUUCUAACCGGGACAAAAGCUCCUCGCCUAUAAAUUCCCCUUGCUUCUUCCUCCCCGAGCCCGAGCCACUCCACCAGACCGAGGGCUUCUUCCUCCUCCUCUCCAUGGCAAUCAAGCAACCUUAGAGAGGUGCUGCCCGAUUUUUUCCUCAUUUCUGUGGGGAUUUCACUUAUCCAAAGUGUUGUAAAUAUUAGCUACUUCAUCCUCCCUUCAUUUCUUAUUAUUAUGCUUUGUUUUAUGCUUUAGAGAUAGAGAAAAAUGAGUUUUUUAGAAUGAGGGAGAAUUGAGAGGAUUUUUAUUUAUAAAUAUUUUUGAGCUAGAAUUUGAUGGAUAGCUUGCUUGUUAUAUAUGAUUCGUAUUAGGUAAAGAACUUUAUCAAUAUUAGGUAUGGGAAAAAAAUAGAGUAAAUGUGUUUUUAAUAUUAAGUCAUUGCAAUAAAAUAAGGUAAAUAAAUUGUAGGUGUAAGAAAUAGAAUUUGGUCAUUGCUAUAGUUUUUCAUGUUACUGUAAUUUAACAAUAAUUGUAUUUCUUUGACUAGUAAUUUAUUUAUCUCAUAUUUAUUGCAAGAACUAAAUAUUAUAAAUACAUUUACUCUAUUUUCUCCCCUACCUAAUAUUGAUCAAGUUCUUUAUCUAAUACGAAGUCCUAUGUUCAUUUUUAACGUAAUACGAUGCAGAUGGAUCGGCAGUAGAUGUACCACCUCCGCUCCUCCAACCCUAGAGAAUAGUGUCUGCACAUAGCAUGAAUGUGCUUACACUAUUCUCUGGUAUUGGAGGAGCGGAGGUGGCUCUUUAUUUUACUUUGUAUGAUUAGUUUGUAAAUAUAUUGUAGGUGUAAAAAAUAGAAUUUGGUCAUUACUACAAUUUUUUGGAAAGUUUGCAUGUUAAAUUAGAGUGAUAUGAAAAUUACACCGGUCAACAUAAUGCUACAAUUGUAGAACAGGACAACAAAGAUACACUAAUAAAGACUACAGACGCUCCAUAGUGGACUUCACGGAGUCAAGAAUCCAAAAAUAAUGGUAGAACAGAAGAAUUUCGAAGAAACUCGGGCUGAAUAUCAUAAAAGAAUCUUGAAAUAGUAUUCCAAACGGCUUUUGAAACCUAAUUCUCAUAAUAGAGUGUACUGGCCCAAUAUCCGCUUUAGGCAGAGAUAUGACCUUGACCUAGCGGCUUUUGGUUGGUUUUGGCUUGCCACCAUGGGCCAUGCUCAAUGAACAGAUCUUUUGCCUGGACGUACUAUUAUGUGUGUGCCACCAUAGUUCUAUUAUGAUAAUGUGACACUUGCUCCAAAAGAUGUUUGGACAAUUAUUUCAAGAUUCCUUUACGAUAUUCAGCCUGAGUAUGUGGAUUCGAAGAUCUUCUGUUAUACCAUUAUUUUCUGGUACUAGAGGAGCGGAGGUGACUCUCCAUAGACUUCGUAGAAGAUUGAGUCAUGUGCAGAGGUGGUUUGGAGGGCGAAUAUUCUGCUAUGUUGUACCAUUAUUAUAGGAUAAUUGACUACAUGAAAUCCACUAUGUAGCAUCUAUAAUCUUUAGUGUAUAUGUAUCUUUAUUGUCUUGUUUCAGAAUUCUAGCAUUUGUCUUUUUGUCGACGUAGUGAAUGUUAUGAAUGUUGAUUGGUGUAAUUUUCAUGUAAAUCGUUUUUAUCUUUAUGACGGUUGAUUGGUCUAAAUUAUCAAUAUUGAUCAGGUUCUUUAUCUAAUACGAAGACCUAUGUCCAUUUCUCACGUAAUAUGAUGCAGAUGGAUCGGCAAUGAAUAUAUAACGCGGAUAGAUGGAUCAAAGAGUUUGUUGAUGGCUUGCAUUAUUUUCUCGAAGUGACCAAAGUCAACAAGCUAGAGAAGGGAUUCAUAUAUUGCCCAUGCCUCGAAUACAGUAACAAGAAGGACUACUCUUCCUGAGGGACUGUUCACAGCCACUUGUUUAGAUUUGGUUUCGUGCCUAACUAUUUGGUUUGGACCAAGCACGGCGAAAGAGAGGUUAUAAUGGAAGACGGUGAAGAUGAGGAGGAUGAUAACAACAUUACGGACUGGACAGCAGGCUAAGCUUUUGUAGAUACUACAAUGGGCGAGGCUGAUGAAGAAGAGUUUGCAGAAGAUGGCCGUAUUGAUGAUCUUGGUCAGGUGCUAGGGGAUGCAUAGGGAGAUUGCGAAACUGAGAAGGAAUCAGAAAAGUUGCAGCGCAUGAUAGAUGAUCACAAAAAAUUGUUGUACCCAGAUUGCAAGCAGGGGCAUAAAAAACUGGGUACCACACUAGAAAUGCUAUAAUGGAAAGCAAAAAAUGGUGUGAGCGAUAAGGCAUUUUAGGGGAUAUUGAAAAUUGUAAAGAACAUUCUUCCCAAGAAUAAUGAAUUGCCAUCCAUAACAUAUGAAGCUAAACAGGUUAUUUGCCCUAUGGGAUUGGAGGUUCAGAAGAUACACGCAUGCCCUUAUGACUGUAUCCUCUAUCGUGGUGAUGAAUAUGAGAAAUUGGAUGCUUGUCCUAUGUGCGGAGCGCUGCUAUAAGAUCAGGCGAGAUGAUCACAGCCACAUAAUUCUUCCAAAUAAAAGAAAAAUCGUGGGAGUCGAAGACAAAACAGAGCAGUCAAAUGAUUAUGAUCAGUUUGAUGGCAUGCUUCCAUUCGUUGUCGAAGUUGACCCAAGCAUCAUGCUAGCCAAAGAAGAGGUUCCGUACUUACGCCGCAAUUAUGACCAAGGAACUUUCGUUAAGAAGAAGUUUUUUAACGUUACAUUGUAAUGCACUAAAUAUGGUGCACCUUCAUGUAAUGCUUUAUGGCCAUCAGAACCUUUGGAUUAUAUUGUAAUACUCUAUGGUGAACAUUUAUUCGAUCUAUAUAAAUAAUGUUAACUUAACCACAUUUUUUGCACAGUGAAAUUAUUUAAUUGAAGAAUUUGUUGAUCAUAGUGAUGCAUUAAAAUAAUUAUUUUAGAAAUUUAAACAACUAGUAUAGAAUUAAUGACUGAUUCAAACUUAUUUUAAAUAUACUUGCUAAUUUAAUAUAUUUUUGCAUGUUCAAAAUACGUAAAGUUUUUAUUUUUCUUUAACAACAAAACAACUUAAUAUAUAUAUAAAUUAAAAUUGCAAAAGUCAGAGGAAAUGAAAGGGGGACCUUUAGUCUCGGUUGUAAAUUCUAACCGGGACUAAAGGGUGCUUUUUUCACCUCCCACGCGAAAAGCACCCCGGUUGGAAAUUGCAACCGGAACUAAAGGGGGGCCUUUAGUCAUGGGUUGAAUUUGCAACCGGGACUAAAGGCCCUUUAGUCCUGGUUGCAAAGUCAACCUGAGACUAGGGGGUUUAAAACAUCCACCCCUUUCUCCCCUGCCUCGUCCCCCUCACUUCACUGCUGGAUCCCCCACCCCGACCAGUGUCUUCUCCGCUCGUCUCCCUCCGCCGUCCGCCCGCCGUCUUCCCCAGCCGCCGUCCACGCCCCAUCCUCCGUCAAUCCGCGCCCGCCCCAUCCGCCAUCCACCCGUGCCCCGAUCAUACAAAGAUAAUGGAGGGAAGGCUUCACAUCACCGAAGUAACCGAAGAGGGCCAGCCAAUUGCUCCCGAAAAUGUGGUUAGAAAGUUUGUGAGCUAAUGCAGGGCUAUUGUAAGGGAUAACAUGCCCAUCAGCAUUAAGGAAUGGAAGGGUAAACAAAAUGAUCCAUAUGUACUCCCGCAGACACAAAAAAAAUGUGAAACCCUAAAAUAUGUUGUGGGCAGAUGUCAAGAAACACUUCACACUUCCUGAAGGUGUCAACGAAAAAGUUGUGAAAGAGUGGACGCUGAAGAAGUUGGCAACCCAAUUCCAAACCUUCAAGAAGAAUCUGGAUGCCAACAUUAUCAAGAAGGGCCGAACUCCAGAUUUUGAUCAGUGGUCAAAGUUAAAGGACCACUAGAACUCAUUUCUAGAAUACAAGAUGAGUGAAAUUAGUGCGACCAAGGUUCGUGUUCACUCAACCAAUGCUCAGAAGAAGGAGUACCAUCACCGUUUAGGGCGAGGUGGUUACAUGAGUGCAAUUUCGAAAUGGAAAGGGAUUGAACAAGACCUAUUCGAUCGAGGUAUCGUACCAGCGACUAUUGACUAGCUCGAUCGAUCGAAGAAUUAGUAUUACGCUCACGGAGGCAACCUGAGCCAAGAGGAUGGGAUACUUAUUGUGCGUUUGGUUGGGAGACAAUGUAGAACGGGAUGGUCCCGUCCCAGUUUUUCGGGAUAGGAUGAUCCUAUUUCAUGUUUGGUUGAAUGUGAUGGGUCCGUCCUAAUGUUUUGUUUGGUUGGAGAGAUUGCUAUAGAGGGACGAGCACCGUUUUCUCCUUCUGUUAACACCGUUCGUGGGGCCCACCUAUCAUACUAACCGCCAUCUUCUUCCUCCACCCCGGUUCCGCUGUUGGCUCUUGGGCUCGCCGUUGCGCCGCUGGGGGAGCUUGCCCCGGGCGCGCCGCCCGUGAAUCGGGCCUCGCCGGCCUCGAGCCGCCGCUUGCCGAAUCUCAGGGGCCGUGGGGGAGCUCGCGCGCACCGGCCGUGGCGGAGGUCCCGCCCGCCGGCCGUGCUCGCCCGCGCCGGCCGUGCUCGCUCGCGCCGGCCCCUCCACCGCGGCCGGCCCCUCCGCCGGCGGCUCCCCCCCUGCCCAACCUCGCCCCCUCCACCGGUGCGGAUGGACGGCGCGUGACGGGGGCGAAGUGGGAUGCCCCCGUCCGCUUGUUUUGGUGGGAUGGGGGCAUCCCGCAUCUGGAGGGUAUAUUACCUCAUAGGGAUGUCCCCAUCCCACCUGUCUCCAAACCAAACACGGGAUGAAGUGGGAUCGUCCCGUCCCGUCCCACUUCGUCCCUCAAACCAAACACACCCUUAUGUUCAAGGCCAAAAGGCUUAUCCAAAACAUUGAAGAUGCUAAAGCAGGAAAGAUGAAGGUUGAUAGAGAUAACGAUGAGCUCACUUUGGCGCUCGGGAAUCCCGAACACCGUGGAUGUUGACGAGGCUUCAGGGUCGUUCUGUGGAAGUUUGCUUUCCGUAGGGACAUCGACACGUACAGAAGCCGCAAGAGAAGAAAGGAAUGGCAAGAGGAGAGCUAGCGGUGCAUGUUAGAAGCUAAAGUGCAUUCACAAGAAGUAAGAAUGCAGGAAGAAAUUAAUCGGCGAGUGGUCCUGGUAGUUACUGAGAUGGCUCAAUCUGGAGCACUGUCGGAUCCCAACGUCGCCAUCCCUUCUCAACGCUAAAGCACCUGUGCUUCCACAAGGGUACCCUGUGGAUGACAUCACUCAGCGCACCUCAUUUGAGCUGUAUAGACCAUUUGGUAACAUCUAUACAUAUAUAUAAUUUAUGCAAUCUUCUCAAUUGAUCCAUGCCUGGGGAGUUUAAUAACUUCUUUAUUUCUCCUAUAUGUACAGGUGGCGUACAGAAGUGCUUUACCAAUCUUGCCAGGACAGACAAGCCAUGGUAUGGAGAUUCCACCGGGCUACUCCAGCAUUGGCCUAGAGCAGAUUUGUGAUAGUCAAUAUGAAGGCCUAGAGCUCGACCUCCCGGGAGGUGACAGGGAAAGGACACUAGGAGAUGCACUUCACGAGAUCAUUCUAUGACGCGAACGUUACGUCAUCAUCCCUAGUAAGAAGGCAUCAUUGCUUCCCAUAGAUCCCCCGCAGCGACCAUCUCCUCAGAACUCAAGACCAUCUUCUCCAGCACAUCUACCUCUAGGACCGUCGUCACCACCGGGACCAUCGCAUCCUGCUCGAUCACCGUCUCCAUCUCCAUCGAAUCCUAGUGGUGCGAGCAACGAUGACCAAAACACCCCUCCCUAAUCACCGUCGCUGGGACUAAACUCUAGUGUGAGCAAGGAACUUGCAGCACCUCUGAAGAAGCCGCGACCGCUGCCUUCCAAGCCAAGGCAACCAAAGACGAAAGAACCUGUUAAGAAAACAAAGAAGCCUGAACCAAUUCAAAAGCUACCGGUCGAUAUAACUACUGAGGAAUUGCGGGAGGCAUCGCAAGCAACGGUGGAGGGUGGCAUCUCGCCAUCUCCUCAAGGUUGGAGCAUUUGACAAGCAGGAGCUCUUUUAGAUUAGGCAUGUUAUGGAAGAAGUCUCCUUGGAAGUUGCUUAUAUUUGAAUAGGAGAGAUCGAAGUAGUAGAGCGAGCUGAGCUUUUUGUUGUUG